UACGAAAGGGGUUAGCGUUGUUCGGAAUUACUGGGCGUAAAGCGCACGUAGGCGGCCUUGUAAGUUGGGGGUGAAAUCCCGGGGCUCAACUCCGGAACUGCCUUCAAGACUGCAAAGCUAGAGGACGCGAGAGGUUAGCGGAAUUCCGAGUGUAGAGGUGAAAUUCGUAGAUAUUCGGAAGAACACCAGUGGCGAAGGCGGCUAACUGGCGCGUUUCUGACGCUGAGGUGCGAAAGCGUGGGGAGCAAACAGG
rnacentral:rRNA from 1 species